GCCAACUCUCGAAGCUGAAUAUAUGCAAUAUCCGUCCGUCUGUCAGGGUGGAGCUCAGCUGUGGGGAGUCCCGGGGAGGGGGGGGGGGGACACAGCUGGCCCGUCCCAAGUCUGUGAUAUCAGUUUUUCUUUUUUGGUUUUACUGUUUAUAGUUGCCUUUGGGUUUUUGUCCUUCUGUUUUUCUGUCUUCUGUUAAAUCUGCUCUUAAAGUUCACCAAAGCUAAGACAGUUUUGCCAGGGGUUUUAGCGGGACAGACAGAAGUCCAGGCUCCAAGCCAUCCCCUUGCCUCUUCCUGCCCCCACCCCCAUCCCCACCUCCGCCAGUCGCCCCACUCAGCCCUGAGUGUUGGUCGCUGGCAGAGAGGUCAUGGCAGGCUCAGCCCUGAUUGGGGAACCCGGGUGGGUGGGACCACCGCCCUGCCCACCUCACGUGCACUGUGUGUCACUUGUAGGCCUGGCUGACUUACAGCUUUCAGACCUUUAACGCGGGUAGUGGUGAGGACAGUGGACAGAGCAUGCCUGGCGGCGGGUUGGGAGG
rnacentral:lncRNA from 1 species